UGACCAAGGGGUCGGGACGUUCUGCCUGUUUCAGGGGCGGAGUGACCUACGGGUACAGGGAGUGCCUGCGCAAGGGCCGGGUCAGGUAAAAG
rnacentral:ncRNA from 1 species